CUUGACCGAGCCGAGCAGCAGGGGCCGUUCGCGCUCCUGUCCGUAGGUGGCGAGCAGGGCCUGGGCCUC
rnacentral:antisense_RNA from 1 species